GCUCAUCACAUCCUGGGGCUGAAGUAGGUCCCAAGGGUAUGGCUGUUCGCCAUUUAAAGUGGUACGCGAGCUGGGUUUAGAACGUCGUGAGACAGUUCGGUCCCUAUCUGCCGUGGGCGCUGGAGAACUGAGGGGGGCUGCUCCUAGUACGAGAGGACCGGAGUGGACGCAUCACUGGUGUUCGGGUUGUCAUGCCAAUGGCACUGCCCGGUAGCUAAAUGCGGAAGAGAUAAGUGCUGAAAGCAUCUAAGCACGAAACUUGCCCCGAGAUGAGUUCUCCCUGACUCCUUGAGAGUCCUGAAGGAACGUUGAAGACGACGACGUUGAUAGGCCGGGUGUGUAAGCGCAGCGAUGCGUUGAGCUAACCGGUACUAAUGAACCGUGAGGCUUAACCUU
rnacentral:rRNA from 1 species